rnacentral:sRNA from 1 species
CCUGCGGAGGGAUCAUUACCGAGUUUACAACUCCCAAACCCCUGUGAACAUACCAAUUGUUGCCUCGGCGGAUCAGCCCGCUCCCGGUAAAACGGGACGGCCCGCCAGAGGACCCCUAAACUCUGUUUCUAUAUGUAACUUCUGAGUAAAACCAUAAAUAAAUCAAAACUUUCAACAACGGAUCUCUUGGUUCUGGCAUCGAUGAAGAACGCAGCAAAAUGCGAUAAGUAAUGUGAAUUGCAGAAUUCAGUGAAUCAUCGAAUCUUUGAACGCACAUUGCGCCCGCCAGUAUUCUGGCGGGCAUGCCUGUUCGAGCGUCAUUUCAACCCUCAAGCCCCCGGGUUUGGUGUUGGGGAUCGGCGAGCCCUUGCGGCAAGCCGGCCCCGAAAUCUAGUGGCGGUCUCGCUGCAGCUUCCAUUGCGUAGUAGUAAAACCCUCGCAACUGGUACGCGGCGCGGCCAAGCCGUUAAACCCCCAACUUCUGAAUGU